rnacentral:rRNA from 1 species
GUCCACGCCCUAAACGAUGUCUACUGGUUGUCGGGAUGGUUACAUCUUGGUAACGAAGCUAACGCGUGAAGUAGACCGCCUGGGGAGUACGGUCGCAAGAUUAAAACUCAAAGGAAUUGACGGGGACCCGCACAAGCGGUGGAUGAUGUGGAUUAAUUCGAUGCAACGCGAAAACCUUACCUACGCUUUACAUGCUCGGAAUCCUGCAGAGAUGCGGGAGUGCUCGAAAGAGAACCGGGACACAGGUGCUGCAUGGCUGUCGU